GGCUAUGUUAACAACAUCAUGUGACUAGGGGGAGGUUGAUUCAAUUGAGACUUGAACUCGAGACGCCAACAACCAGGGUCACCAGCAGGUUGCUGAGAGGAGUUCUCGUCUAGCACGGAUACUGAACCACUCCGCCCUGGGUAUCGGCAUCACCGUCAUCAUCCUGUACAUUGUCUACGUCGUCAUCCUGGCCAAAAAUAUCCACUGAUCUGACACCUAAACACCGGCUUGCACCACAGCCACCGCUUCUCUCAACCCCAGCCCCCAAAAUCAUCCUGAUCUUGACCACAUAAAGUCGGUGCCAGUUACAGGCACUUUCCAAAGAGAUACAUAAUGCUGUUUAUUCAUCAACAUUUAUGACAUGCUUUUUUAAAAACUAUAUAUCUAAUGACUUACUUUUUUAAAUACCUGCAGACAAGAUAGUUUAAAUUGUUAAUUCAUUUGCCUGUUUAAUUUUAAGUUUAAUAUACAUAAAUAAACAACAAAUGAUGGAUACUGAUAGUUUUUUGGAAUAUUUCUAAUAAAUGUCUAAAGGAUAGUGUAUGUGUAUUCACUGUGUAUGGAUAAGUCAUAUCAGAGUUUAGAGACAGAUUUGACAAUGUUAUGAGAAUGCAGCAGAAAGAGACUAUUCUUAAAGUCUGAAAGGACAUGUAUUACUGGUUGUCAUUACACAGAGUGCCAGUAAGGUUACCACUCACAAGAAUAAACAUUUUGCAACUCAA
rnacentral:lncRNA from 1 species